GCUCGCGGCCCUAUCAGCUUGUUGGUGGGGUGAUGGCCUACCAAGGCGACGACGGGUAGCCGGCCUGAGAGGGCGACCGGCCACACUGGGACUGAGACACGGCCCAGACUCCUACGGGAGGCAGCAGUGGGGAAUAUUGCACAAUGGGCGGAAGCCUGAUGCAGCGACGCCGCGUGAGGGAUGACGGCCUUCGGGUUGUAAACCUCUUUCAGCAGGGACGAAGCGUAAGUGACGGUACCUGCAGAAGAAGCGCCGGCCAACUACGUGCCAGCAGCCGCGGUAAGACGUAGGGCGCGAGCGUUGUCCGGAUUUAUUGGGCGUAAAGAGCUCGUAGGCGGCUUGUCGCGUCGACUGUGAAAACCCGCAGCUCAACUGCGGGCCUGCAGUCGAUACGGGCAGGCUAGAGUUCGGUAGGGGAGACUGGAAUUCCUGGUGUAGCGGUGAAAUGCGCAGAUAUCAGGAGGAACACCGGUGGCGAAGGCGGGUCUCUGGGCCGAUACUGACGCUGAGGAGCGAAAGCGUGGGGAGCGAACAGGAUUAGAUACCCUGGUAGUCCACGCUGUAAACGUUGGGCGCUAGGUGUGGGGGGCCUCUCCGGUGCCUGCCGAGCAGAUAGGGACUA
rnacentral:rRNA from 1 species